CUCCAGUGCACAAUUGUUUCUGCUCCCCAGGGAGUGGAUUCCUCAUUCUGGUGAACAGGGUCACCAGAUUUCUGUUCUCUGGUCUCUAAGUGUUCAUGUGGGUGACUUCCGGCCGGAAGAUUUGUGUAGUGUCAGUGUUUUUCUGGGGCUUAAAGUUGUGUCCUACAGAGCAGAAUUUUGCGCUCUCCAGUGCACAAUUGUUUCUGCUCCCCAGGGAGUGGAUUCCUCAUUCUGGUGAACAGGGUCACCAGAUUUUUGUUCUCUGGUCUUUAAGUGUUCAUGUGGGUGACUUCCGGCCGGAAUAUUUGUGCGUGUUUACUGCUUUUCCAAGUCCCGAAAAUUGUGCUCUGUGAUAAUUAUGCUGUGACACAGAGAACAACUUCCUUCCUGCCCAGGGAGUGGGAAUUUGCAUCUGAUGGAUUGUAUUUCACUAGGUUCCCAGUCCCUGAUGCCUCAGUGUUGAUCUGAGUGACUGGACAUGGACAUUGGCGCGCCGGAAGCUGGAUGGGAUGGCCUGGACUGAAGAGCAGCAACACUGGAUCCAAGGUGACUGGACAUGGACAUUAGCGCGCCGGAAGCUGGAUGGGAUGGCCUGGACUGAAGAGCAGCAACACUGGAUCCAAGGUAAGAUUUUUAUUGUAUCGUUUAUUAUCGUGUUUUAAUUUUUUUUUCCUUUUCAUUUCAGGUGGCUGGACAUGGACAUUGGCGCGCCGGAAGCUGGAUGGGAUGGCCUGGACCAUGGAUUACUGUAUCCUGGAUAGUAGAUAGAGAUUUUCGUGUUUCAUAGUAGUGCAAACAAAUCAAAUAAAAGUGCACCAUCGCAUAGUGCGAUUUGAUGCCCAGAAAUAUUAUAUUUAUAUUAUAUUAUUUAUUAUAUUAUAUUAUUUAUUAUAUUAUAUUAUUUAUUAUAUUAUAUUAUUUAUUAUAUUAUAUUAUAUUAUAUUGGAUAAAUCGAAAUGUUAUAUUUCUGAAUCAACCAAUAAAGCACUAAAUUUGUA